GUCGGACCUUUUAAGCGACGGACACAUCGAUCCAUAUAAGCUUCGUCACCAAACUCGGUCAAACAUGUACCACAGCAAACGUUUCCCAGCUCGCAAAGAUUCUAUAAAUCCAUGAGAAGAAGACAGCCUGCCGUUUCCUUUAACUUGGACACACACAUCUAUACCUUUGGCCAUUCUGAAGGGACAAGGAAACAAUACCUGGCAGCAGCAAGCGUGGAGGAUAUCAACUGGGACUGGACCUAGACGCCAUCAGCAGGAAUGAGAGCUGCCGUUUGCUUCGCCUCGCCAGCCCCUUUCCAAGCACAGGUCCGUCACGGCGACCCCUGCCAGAGGCAAGACCCAGCAAUUAGGGGGACGAGACAUGCAUCUGAUGCAUUAAGCACGAUGGACGCGGACGCACUGCACGCUGAUCUAAUACUACAUCCCCGCGGGGAAUUGGAGUGAGGUAGCGGCCGUCCAGCGUCCAACAAACCUGGCAUUGUGCGUACUUAAUGUCCCCUUGUGGAUUAUGUGCUCCGGUCCCUGCAGUAUCACGUGACCGGGUCCGUGUCCCAUUUGCCAGAUU